UAGCCCAGCACCGAAUCCUUCACCAUCUCGGUGACAGGAAAUGUGGUGUUUAGGCCGUACCUUGUCCCGAUACGUCUCUCCUCAAGUCCACUUGAUUGUGGCCCCAGGCCCAGAGAGGGUGUAAGGCCCGUUGAGGCGAGACGUUCGGUACCUGGUGCGUCCUUAGAGUCGGGUUGUUUGGGAAUGCAGCCCUAAGCGGGUGGUAAACUCCAUCCAAGGCUAAAUACCAGCACGAGUCCGAUAGCGAAGAAGUACCGCGAGGGAAGGUUGAAAAGAACUUUGAAGAGAGAGUUCAAGAGUACGUGAAACCGCUGAGAGGCAAACUGGUGGAACUGAAAUGGUCCCGAGGAAUUCAGCCGUUGGUGGUUGUGCAGUCUUUGGUGCUUGAUUUAACGACAACGCCAUUGAAUGGUGCUUCCGCCAUCGGUGCACUUUCCUCGUAAUUGGGCCCGACCACGACCGGUGAGCUGACCUGUCUGUCGUGCUUGGAAGAUAGCGUCAUCUUCGGAAGGCGUGUUAUAGACUUGCACACGGAGCAGUCGGCGCACUGGAAAAUAGUGCCUGCCCUCUGGGCUCAUAUGGCGGUUGUUUUGUUGGCGAGUUCCGAUGUCACUACUUCGGUAGAGUCGUUGGACUCUGUCGGCAUUAUGGUCGUCCUCUAUGAUUGGCACUGGUAAGUCUGUGGUUGUGAAGUAGGUAGUCCACCUGACCCGUCUUGAAACACGGACCAAGGAGUCUAACAUGUGCGCGAGUCAUUGGGUUCACGAAACCUAAAGGCGCAGUGAAGGUAAAGAUCUGUUUUGGCAGAUUGAGGUGGGAUGCUGGGUUACGCGCCCAGCCGCACUACCGGCCCGUUCUAUAUGUAUCUCAUAGGAGCGGAGCAAGAGCGUACACGUUGGGACCCGAAAGAUGGUGAACUAUGCUUGCGCAGGUCGAAGCCAG
rnacentral:rRNA from 1 species